ACGUAGGUAGCGAGCGUUAUUCGGAUUUACUGGGCGUAAAGGGUCUGCAGGGGGCCUGCCAAGUCUGGCGUGAAAUUCCAAGGCUCAACCUUGGAACUGCGUUGGAUACUGGCGGGCUAGAGUGCAGGAGGGGAGAACAGAAUACCUGGUGUAGCGGUGGAAUGCGUAGAUAUCAGGUGGAACACCAGCGGCGAAGGCGGUUCUCUGGCCUGUAACUGACACUGAGGCGCGAAAGCGUGGGGAGCAAACAG
rnacentral:rRNA from 1 species